AAAAAAAAGAAAAGCUUUUACAUUCAUUCAGACACCAAACGUUUCGCAGAGGAGGAAGGAUUUCGUAGCCCGGAAGUGCCAAUUAACGCUGCGUUUUUGUGUGUGUCUUCACCGCGCACCAUGCGUCAUCGCGUUCAAAAUGUCGUGCGGGAGAUCAGAAACCGGGUUCUGAUUCAAGACGCCUUCAGAAAGACUUCAUCGCCCUGCUCCAAGACCAAGUGGUGUUUGUUUGGCUGAAAAGGACCCAAACAACACCAAGAAGAAUUUGAUCAUCAUGAAGAUCGUCAAAUAGUAGGACGUCGUUUUUAUUCCGGGUGGUCGCUGUGCCCCCACUACGCUCUUCGCUUGGCCGCCGUGCCUUUUUAAGUGCAUCUGUCAUGGCCGCCGUGCCAUAUGGCAGCUGUGCCUUUACAUGUACCUGUCAUGGCCGCCGUGCCUUGAAACUUCUUUCAGCUCACCAUUUCACAUACAUAUUAGUGCUUUACUUUACUUUAGGUGUAUCAACGAAAGGGAAGCAUCGUUUUAUAUUACUUUUUCAGGAUGGCGGCCGUGUCGGCCUCCAUGCGCAUCUGCACAGCUCAAAUAUACUUUGAGAAUAGUAGUUCAUAGCAUAGUAACUAAUAGCCAUUCAUCCAAUUUUAACCUUAGGCCGAGCAUUAAUUUCAUGGUGGACUGCCAUCCAACAUUUUGAAUUUCCUCAUUUGACCCAUCAUCGAGCAUUUAUUUCAUCGUGGACUGCCAUCCAGCAUUUUGAAUUUCCUCAUUUGACCCAUCAUCGAGCAUUUAUUUCGUCGUGGACUGCCAUCCAGCAUUUUGAAUUUCCUGAUUUGACUGACGCAUCAUCGCAUUUACUUCGUCGUGGACUGCCAUCCAGCAUUUUUAAUUUCCUGACUGACGCAUCAUCGAGCCAUUUUAAAUUUCCUGACUUCACAUCGGGUCCCGCUGAUGUACUGGAAAUGUGAGUACCAUGUCCAAUUACGUACUUAAUUCUUUGAGUUUGUGGUUUUUGCAAGAAUACUGUGCUGUAACUUUUUUGUUUUAUUUUUCUAUUUCAGCUUGUCCAUCCACGAGGACUGCCCACUUCAUCCAACAUUUUUUCAAAAAAAAACAAAUGCUUUAUUUAAUUUGCUUGUCCAAUUCAGAUUUAACUAUGAAAAACUACUUUGGACUAUGUAUGUAAAAUGGAGGCUGUAUGAGUCACUGAAAAUACUGUUUAACUUAUUGGAUUUGUGAUUUUGAAUUUAACCUGUGCUAACAAAGCGGGCAUAAAGGCAAUAAAUGGUUCUAAAUAUGCCCUAGCAAUUAACACAUUUAAUGACCACAAUAUUAGAUUAGAUUAAAUUCCUAAAAUGCUAGACAUUUGUACAGGUAAUCGAUUUAUGCAUGUGCCAUGGUUGCUGUUUUUGGCAUUGCUCUGUUUGCAUCUCUCUGUAUGUCUCUCUUCUGCUUGGGGGCUAGAGUUGGGGUUGGGUAUCAUGCAGCCUAAAUAGACUAAAUUUUGAUAAUUGGGCUUCUGAUAGAUGGGGGAAAUUACAUCCCUUUUUUUGUUAUCGCAGCUUUAGGUUAACAUGAUUUAGCUUAAUCAUGCGCCCCCAAAAUGACAACCUUGAUAAAAGUUGUUUGCCAUGUCAUAUAGAUAUUUAUUUCCCCAACCAUUAAUUACUCAGAAUUGGAAUGUUUUGCAGCUCUUUGAAAUAAAUCAGUGGCUAUUAAUAAAACAUACUAGAACUCAAAUUAGUUUAUUAGAAUUAAAUUAGGUGGGAUUGAUUAAUUUUAACUAGUAAUUAGUGACUCAAUUGGUUAUUCAGUCCAUGGUAAAUUUCACCCACCACACAGAUUUUGUAAUGCAUAAUGAAAGUUUAAGUUUAGACUACCUUGUCUUGCUCUGCCAGAUUUAAUUCCAGCUGGAUACUCAAGUUAGUUGCGACAUACUCCUUUUGCGUAUCGUGUUGGGAGGCCUCCCAGCGGGGGAAUUAUUUUCCCACCGCUGCAGACCGCGUCACUAGAGUUGCGUUCAUUAUUUACCACAGCAUCCGUGCUGCAUGUUAGUUUCAGGACAUACGGGGGUCAGUUGUGGGUGAGACAGAAGCUUGGGUUCUCUGGUAGGAUGCAAACCUGGCAGAGCGACAACUAUGGUAAUUAAAUGGUAACAAUUAUCAAGCACACUUAAUUGCUUCAUUUUCAGAAUUACUGUUGAAGCAGUCAUGACAUUUGAUAGUUCUAAAUUACAGGAUAAAGCAAAUGGUUUAACUUGACAUAGUAUGUAACAUUGUACUAUGGGCCGAAUUUCAGAUCUUAUUGUUCAUUUACAUUGUCUCGAGGCAGAAACUAAAUAAAAAUAGGGCAUUUGGCAAUUGAGCAAAAUCCAUCUUUUAGAGAAAGAUGAGAAGCUCACUUUAGUAUUGCAUAGUUUCCAAUUCAAUGCACUCCAGGGCAUUUCCUCCAGUAUUGUCAGGGAAGCCCUCACCCAAUUUAAACAUUUAACAGUGAUAGUAAUAGAGCUAACAAAGUUGGUAUUGCCCUAGAGACCCAUUCAUUAACAAUCCCUUUAUAUUAUACUUAAACACACUCAAUGAGGAUUUGUAUUUGGGGUGUUCAUCCUUUAUCAGAAUGAGGCUGUAGAAUCAGUAAAGUCAGGGGGAGGGAUGAUUUUUAGGAUGGACCUGGCCUGGAUACACACCAAGGCAGCUGUGGUAAGAUUAUACCUUGCACACUUGGAACAGGUGAGCUACUAAUGCAAUUCUGAGUUUAUUUUUAUUUUUUGAAAGGAAAACAACUGAACUAUCUAAUUGUAUCUUUUUGCUUCACAAGGGGCAGAAUGAAAGAGCCGAAGUGGUGAUGGAGGCCAGGACACCAUGACCCAAAGAUGCAUCUUGGACAGCUGUGACGGAGCCGGGCAACCUGCACCAAACCAUACAUGAUGCGUCUUUGCCAUGAGUUGUCUUCAUAUGUUUAACCUGGGAUCACCUUGACCCUGCUACAAGAUGAGCUCAACCACCAUGCCCCCUGUUUCCAAUAACCCUGGAGAGACUGCUGUAUAUCUGCAAGCCACGAAACGAGGUCAACCACCAUGCCCCCAGUUUCCAGUGGAUGAAUGGGCUCAGACUGAAUUCGAAUCAAGAAUGGAAAAGCCAAUACGCUGAUGGAUGACACAGUUUGGGCUUUGUGUGGGUCCUGAUGCCUCCAAACAAGAUAUGGUCACCACAGUUAAAUCAUCGUCGAAACGGACAACUUAAAAUCCCUGACUCCUACUUUGCCCGUUUUCUUAAACAUCAUUGUUUACAAGUCACUGUCUCCCAAUAAUGCAAGAGCUCUUAAGCUCUCUUGCAUGACCCGAUAAAUUUGUAAUUUAACCAAAGUUUCCAUAGUUAACUAAAUAUAGACUUCAGUUUGGAGUCCAUGAGCUGGGUUUCCUUAACACGACAGAGAAUGAGGUCAGAGUCGACUCAUCACAUGGUAAGGCUUUAGUCCUUCCCCUUCUUCUCUGUGUGUGACGGAAAUCUGACCAAGGACCCGUACUGACCUGUGUGCUGUGGUUGUGCAGUUUCCAAAACUAGACAAGGAUCCAUCUAGUUUUGUGAAUCAGUUCAACAUGGCAUGCAAUAAUUAUCCUAACUCUUGACAAAUCAGCAAUUGCUGAUGAGCUUUUUUUUUUUGGUCAUGUAUAGCAACAUGACUACUUGUAAACUUGGCAUGUGUUAAGCAUUUGAGCAAUUUGGAGUAGAGCUUUUAGAAUUGUCCGUUUAAAUCAGCGGCCAUGGGACAUUUCAGACUUAAUCACCAACCCUGAGCGCAUUGUAGGGGACGAUGCGUUGUAAUGGUUCCAGGCUGAAAUUAUAUCCAGGCCACUGGGGUAAAACUCUCUGCUGAGCACACUUGAACAGAUGCAUAAGCCAAAUGGUGAUGGAGCAGGUUCAAUUUCCUGUGCAGCUGACCAGCUGUGACAUGUACCAAAAUGUCUGUGAUGCCUCCUUUUUACCAAAGGGAUGGAAUCAGAUGUCCAACCUCAAAGAUUGGCGUCCUUAUCUCUCCAAGCCCUACUCAGUGUUUUUACCUUCAUGACCUUGUUCUGCUACAUCUCUACAAACAAGGACGCCAUGACCCAACGAUGUUGCAUCUUGGACAGCUGUGAAGGAAGUGGGCAACCUGCACCAAACCAUACAUGAUGCUUCUUCUUUGCCAUGAGAUGUCUUCAUAUGUUUAACCUGGGAUUGCCUUGACCCCGCCACAACAUGAGGUCAACCACCGUGCCCCCAGUUUCCCGUGGAUGAUGUCCACUACUGGACUCGAGCUGAAUUCUAAUCAAGGUUGCUCAUAAUGCUCUACAUUGCCCACUUGGAACAGAAUUUUGGGAAAUGUAUGUACGACAUUGUGACGUGGAGACAUUGUAUCCUGGACAGCUGUGAAGGAGACCUGUACCAAACCUUACUUGAUGUCUCAUUGUCAUGAUGCAUCUUCAGGACCUGAGCUCAGGGCCCAGAAGUCAUGACGCCUCCAAAGUUAAACCAUCGUCGAAACGAACAACUUAAAAUCCUUGACUCCUACUUUGCCCAUUUUCUUAAACAUCAUUGUUUACAAGUCACUGUCUCCAAAUCAUGCAAGAGAUCUUAAGCGCUCUUGCAUGACCCCGAUAGAUUUGUUAUUUAACCAUAAUUAACUAAAUAUAGACUUCAGUUUGGAGUCCAUGAGCUGGUUUCCUUAACACUACAGAGAACGAGGUCAGAGUCGACUCAUCACAUGGUAAGGCUUUAGUCCUUCCCCUUCUUCUCUGUGUGUGACGGAAAUCUGACCAAGGACCCGUACUGACCUGUGUGCUGUGGUUGUGCAGUUUCCAAAACUAGACAAGGAUCCAUCUAGUUUUGUGAAUCAGUUCAACAUAGCAUGCAAUAAUUAUCCUCACUCUUAACAAAUCAGCAAUUGCUGUUUAGCUUUUUUUUUUUUUUGGUCAUGUAUAGCAACAUGACGACUUGUAAACAUGGCAUGUGUUAAGCAUUUGAGCAAUUUGGAGUCGAGCUUUUAAAGUUGUCCGUUUAAUCAGUGGCCAUGGGAAAUCUUCAGACUUAAUCACCAACCCUGAGCGCAUUGCCUUGACAUCACAACUGCAUGUCUGCAAACCACAAGACGUCAUCAACCACCCACUUCUGAGUUUGCAGGGGAUGAUGCGUAGUAAUGGGCCCAGGCUGAAAUCCUAUCCAGACCACUGGGGUUAAACACUCUGCCAAGCACACUUGAACAGGUGCAUAAGCCAAAUGGUGAUGAAGCAGAUUCAGUUUCCUGUGCAACUGGGAAAAUGAUGUGGGUGACAUGUACCAAAAUGUCCUAAUGGAUUCAGAUACAGUCUCAAAGGCCUGUGUCCUAAACUCACCAAGCUCUACUCAAUGACCUCUUAUCCAUAUAAUGGCAAGAUAUAGUCAACAACACUGUUCUACAAGUUUUCCAGUGGACGAUAUUUGGCAAUGAGCCUGUGAAACCAUCAAGUCAUUGAUCAGAAUACGUGAGCCAAACUGAUGGCAGGUUCAGUUUUCACAGUGUCACUUGGAGAACAGUGUAGGACUUCAUGGACCAAAGGGGUGUCAUCCUGGACAGCUGUCAUGAGAGUUUGUUUGCCAACCUGUAUCAAACCACACUGGAUAAUGAUGAUGCCUCUUUUGCCAUGGCAUGUCUUCACGGUUUCACCCUCUGACCUCGAUCACCAAACCCUGCUCACUGUCAAGAAAUGGUCAACCACCUUGUUGUGCAAGCUUUCCAGGGUAUGAUCCAGUGAUGAGCCUUACCUGGAUUCAUAUCCAGGCUGCUGCGGACACAUUCUACCUUGAACAGUUGCAGAAUUGACAAGCCAGGGUUCUGUGGGAUGCCGACAUUGUGUCCUGGACAGCUGUGGUGAUGGGGGCAGCCAACGUGAACCAAAAUCUCCUUGAAGUUGCCUCUUGACUAAUGGAUGGAUCAGGUGUGCAAUGCACAAGCCACAUGGUGAUGGACAACAUGGUUUCUCGGGUUUCGUGCCACCAGGAUAUGGAUGAAGAAUGGAAUGACUGAGAUGUUGCAUCCUGGACAGCAGCGAUGGAGGUGGUCAGCCUGUGCCUGUCCUCAUACAUUCAGCCUGAAGAACCUGUGACCUGACCUCAUGUUGGAAUGACAUGUCACCGAACGACACAAAAUGUUAAAUACCAUUAUAUGAUUACUUGAAACACCUUACGGCCAGAGACUCAUCCAAACCAGUGCAUCCCAUCUAACAGAUUAGCAACUACACAGUACACCACUCUGUCAGCUGUUGGCCCAUUAGACCAUUGGCAAAGCAGACAACUUGAAAUGGUUGAUCCUAAUUUCCCCAAACUCUUCAAUAUCACUUUUUACAUGUCUAAAACAUGCUGGAGAUCUACUCAGUCUCUCCUGCGUGGCCCUCGGACUUAGUUAAAUCACUUCAGUUUGGAGUCCAUGAGCUGGUUUCCUUAACACUACAGAGAAUGAGGUCAGAGUCGACUCAUCACAUGGUAAGGCUUUAGUCCUUCCCCUUCUUCUCUGUUUGUGUAAGGGAAAUCUCACCGUGGACCCUUACUGGUUUGUGUGCUGUGGUUGUGCAGUUUCCAAAACUAGACAAGGAUCCAUCUAGUUUUGUGAAUCAGUUCACCACGGUAUGCAAUUAUUAUCCUAAAUCAGCAUUUGCUGAUGAGCCUUUUUUUUGUCAUGUAUAGCAACAUGACUACAUGUAGAUUGUGUUUUGAAGCGUUUUGUCAAAUUGGGAUUAAACAUUUAAAAUUGUCAGCUUCAUCUCUGGUCCAAUUACAACAGCAGAUGGUGCAACAUGU